rnacentral:lncRNA from 1 species
UUGAUUAUAAUUAAUAUAAAUAAGGCUGUAAAUAAUGUUAUUUUAUUCCAAUGAAAUAAUAUUUUUUUCUCCACUUUGAUUCGUCACACAACGAUGGCAAUUCCCCCCCAAAUCUGACCGUCGUCCGCUCUGGCAGUUCGAUUCGACCAUCGUCGAUUAUCCAUCCAUGCAGGAAUUUAACAACACUAACCAAGGUGAUUGAUAUGAGGCUGUUCAAUUAUUCUGAAGUUGAGAAAGACAUUUGAUGCUUUGGAAAUUAAGAACCCUAGAAAUGGAUUUGGGAUCGAGAAGGCGAUGAUUCAAGGACGUUGGAGGCAAGCAAACCCUAUUCAAGAAGAACCGGUAGAAAUCAUUGGAUGCGAUGAUACUCAGCUUCAGAUGCCAUUAGUAUCAAGAUUAAUCCCAACAUUAAUCUUCUUCAGAUUUGCCCUAGUAAUGGGUGGUACAUCAACUUAUUACAUGUUGAUCAUCGAAACGCUUUUUUCUAGUAGUGUCAUCCCUCUUUAUAUCAUAAAAAAAAUAUUCAAAAGAAAUGCGAA